AUUGAACGCUGGCGGCAGGCCUAACACAUGCAAGUCGAGCGGAGCGGCGGACGGGUGAGUAAUGCCUAGGAAUCUGCCUGGUAGUGGGGGAUAACGUCCGGAAACGGGCGCUAAUACCGCAUACUAUCAGAUGAGACUAGGUCGGAUUAGCUAGUUGGUGGGGUAAAGGCCUACCAAGGCGACGAUCCGUAACUGGUCUGAGAGGAUGAUCAGUCACACUGGAACUGAGACACUGUCCAUACUCCUUCCCGAUCCAUCAUUUUAUAAUAUUGGACAAUUGGCGAAAGCCUGAUCCAGCCAUGCCGCGUGUGUGAAGAAUUUCUUCGGAUUUUAAAGCACUUUAAGUUGGUAGGCGUUACCAACAGAAUAAGCACCGGCUAACGUCGUGCCAGCAGCCGCGGUAAUAC
rnacentral:rRNA from 1 species